rnacentral:rRNA from 1 species
UAACAAGGUUUCCUUAGAUGAACUUGCGGAAGGAUGAUUG